AUGGUUAAAUACAGAAGGACAAUAUCAUAUGUUCUGAAAGAGAAGAAAGAGAAAAUACGCUUUCUUAAAAUAGGAGCCCUUCUAGGGGAUUUGCUAAUGAAGGACAGACAUGUGCUAAAGAUAACCCAUUUAUCUUUUCCACAAAUUCUGAUACUUCUUUUAUUGGACAGCCUAGGGGAUCCCCAGGGGGAUGGCAGCUCCUAUGCUUGUUUUGAUGGUGGUGUAUUCAUUGCAUGUAGCUACAUCCCUUGGCUAUUUGAUCACCCUUUAGGAAAGAAGGACCUAGAAGAAGGAAUAUGUGUGUGGUUACCAUAAAUAAUAGCAAAGUAGACAAAUGUCUCUUUAACGUCAAGUAAGGCAAGAAACUCUCAAAGCACAUUCUGUUUGUUGACUUUGAAAAUGUAUGUGCAUAGAAAUGGAAGGUGAAGACUUCCAGUUUCAUUGGCACCCAUUUCCAGUUUUCCUGCUGGGGAGGAAGGAGCUAUUACCUCUUAUUUCAUGCUUGAAGACUCUGAAGCAUAGAGGUUGAGUAAGUUGCUUACCAUCACACAGCUUGUAAGUGGUGGAGUGGGAUCUCAAACCAGGAAGUCUGGUUCUGGGGUCUGUGUUUCUUGUGUAUGUAACUGUUGUGCUUGUCAUGGAAUUGGUUGCCUGGAAUUGUGCCAGGGGCCUAGCCCAGGAUGAGACCCCUUAUCAUGAUGGGGAGGUUCUUUCUCCCUCAGAUUCCCACAACCAAUAAGUAAACUGAUGGUGUGACUGGUAGAGCACAAGCUUUGCUCAGUGACCAAAGAAUGGAAAAGCGGAGACUUAGUUUGCAAGUCAACCUCUCAGUCCAACUAGGUAUAUAGGAGGGUUGAAGUAAAAAGAAGGGAAUCAGGUUAAGAGAGGGAGGAAUAUUCAUGGCUUACCCAAAAAUGCAGUGUGAUUUGGACCUGAAAUUAAGGUAGCACUCCUUUUUAGUCCUUGUAUGAGCUCUUUGCUUUGUUGUCAUAGCCAUUGUCAACUUUAGUGGUCCUGGUUGGUGUGUAAUUUAUCAUGCUUAUAUAUUAUACUGGAUGCAUAAUGAGGCUCUGUGUCUACUAGAUGUUCGAGCUUCUGCCAUUUGGGUCCUACCUAGUUCUAAUCAGUUCUUAUUUUUUUCUUUCCUUUUGUGAUUGAGCCUGAAACUCAGAUAAGAGCAGUUGGUUUCCAUUCGAGGGAGGGACAGGGAUAUAUUUCUGGGUUAUCAGCCUUUCCUUUUUACUGCUCCUUAUUACUGAAGGACUCUGAAGGGGCAAAGGUUCAUCUUCUGAUCUUGCUACCUGCUAAGCAUAGGCAUUGUCACAUACUGAGUUCAGUUCAGUUCAGUUGUUCAAUGUGUCUGACUCUUUGCGAUCCCAUGUACUGCAGCACACCAGGUUUCCUUGUCCAUUGUGAACUCCUGGAGCUUGCUCAAACUCAUGUCCAUUGAGAUGGUGAUGCCGUUCAAAUAUCUCAUCCUCUGUCGUCCCCUUCUCCUCCCGCCUUAAAUCUUUCC
rnacentral:lncRNA from 1 species